rnacentral:tRNA from 1 species
AUUUACAUAGUAUAAAAAUUAUUUUUAACUUCCAAUUAAAAGAUCUAUAUAAAUAGUGUAAAUA